rnacentral:misc_RNA from 1 species
CUCCCACCCGGCACUGAACAUGUCGUGGUUGGGAUGGUUCCGAUCGGUUGCCUGUGCGGUUCUACCCUCUUGUGGGUAGCGAUGUUGUCCCUUGAUGGAUAUUUGCUUGCCCUUCUGACAUUUUUGUGUCGUUUGGGCAGCCGAAAUGUUGGUGAGAUCCUUGUGCUGGCGCGUGGUCGAAUGCCGUGUUGCUAUCACUUGGAUUUUUGCCGGCUCUCACGGAUGCGGUGCCUAGUGCUAGCUCUGUGGGACUUUGCCCCGCAGACUUCGGGAGGUCCCUUGUACGAAUCAUUGCUCUUAUACGCCGUUUGUCGUGUCGCUACCGCGGCACGCAGAUCGUGUUCUUUCGUGCAGUCGUUGACAGCACGAUAGCGAACAUUAGUGUCCGGAGCGUGGUCUUGUGCACGUGGAAUGCCUCUCCGAUCGUAUGA